UACGGAGGGUGCAAGCGUUAUCCGGAUUCACUGGGUUUAAAGGGUGCGUAGGCGGGCAGGUAAGUCAGUGGUGAAAUCCUGGGGCUUAACCCCAGAAGUGCCGUUGAUACUAUCGGUCUUGAAUGUCGUGGAGGUGAGCGGAAUAUGUCAUGUAGCGGUGAAAUGCUUAGAUAUGACAUAGAACACCAAUUGCGAAGGCAGCUCACUACACAAUCAUUGACGCUGAGGCACGAAAGCGUGGGGAUCAAACAGG
rnacentral:rRNA from 1 species